rnacentral:rRNA from 1 species
CCAAUAGCGUAUAUUAAAGUUGUUGUGGUUAAAAAGCUCGUAGUUGAACCUUGGGCCUGGCUGGCCGGUCCGCCUCACCGCGUGUACUGGUCCGGCCGGGCCUUUCCCUCUGUGGAACCCCAUGCCCUUCACUGGGUGUGGCGGGGGAACAGGACUUUUACUUUGAAAAAAUUAGAGUGCUCAAGGCAGGCCUAUGCUCGAAUACAGUAGCAUGGAAUAAUAAAAUAGGACGUGCGGUUCUAUUUUGUUGGUUUCUAGGACCGCCGUAAUGAUUAAUAGGGACAGUCGGGGGCAUGAGUAUUCAAUUGUCAGAGGUGAAAUUCUUGGAUUUAUUGAAGACUAACUACUGCGAAAGCAUUUGCCAAGGAUGUUUUCAUUAAUCAGGAACGAAAGUUAGGGGAUCGAAGACGAUCAGAUACCGUCGUAGUCUUAACCAUAAACUAUGCCGACUAGGGAUCGGACGAUGUUACAUUUUUGACGCGUUCGGCACCUUACG